rnacentral:rRNA from 1 species
AACGAACGCUGGCGGCGUGCUUAACACAUGCAAGUCGCGCGAGAAAGUGGGGGCAACUCCAUGAGUAAAGCGGCGCACGGGUGAGUAAUACGUAGGUAACCUACCCUUGAGACCGGGAUAACCUUCCGAAAGGAGGGCUAAUACUGGAUAAGACCACGGGGCGUUAGGCUCUGCGGUCAAAGGUGGCCUCUGCACGCAAGCUACCACUCGAAGAUGGGCCUGCGCACCAUUAGCUAGUUGGCGAGGUAACGGCUCACCAAGGCGAAGAUGGUUAGCUGAUCUGAGAGGAUGAUCAGCCACACUGGGACUGAGACACGGCCCAGACUCCUACGGGAGGCAGCAGUGGGGAAUCUUGGACAAUGGGGAAACCCUGAUCCAGCGACGCCGCGUGGGUGAUGAAGG